GAUGAAGAACGUAGCGAAAUGCGAUAAGUAAUGUGAAUUGCAGAAUUCAGUGAAUCAUCGAAUCUUUGAACGCACCUUGCGCCCUUUGGACAUUCCGAAGGGCAUGCCUGUUUGAGUAUCAUGAACACCUCAACUCUCACGGCUUGUCCGUGAUGAGCUUGGACUUUGGGGGUCUUGCCGGCCUGUGGUCGGCUCCUCUCAAAUGGAUCAGCUUGCCAGUGUUUGGUGGCAUCACAGGUGUGAUAACUAUCUGCGCUUGUGGUUUUACAUCAGAUAACCUUCAGUGAUAUGGAGGUUCGCUGGAGCUCACAAAUGUCUCUCCUUAGUGAGGACAGCUCUUUGAACGUUUGAUCUCAAAUCAGGUAGGACUACCCGCUGAACUUAAGCAUAUAAUAAGCGGAGGA
rnacentral:misc_RNA from 1 species